CCAGGGCACAUGCCAAGAAUUCCAGCAACCCGGAACCUGCCCACAGGCCUUCUGACUCGCUGGCUGCUCAACUCCAGAUAAAAAGAACAGAGCAGGGAGAAGUUGGUUUGCUAAUGGACACACAAUGCAGCUUUUCAUCAGGCUGUGUGUGGUUCCUGAUUCGGAAAGAUGGAGGAGGGUGGGGAGGGCUGAGAAUGCGCCCGCUGAGGAGGAGGAGGAAGGUGCUGUGAAGAAGGAGCAUCGCAGAGCAAAGGAGUGCAAGCUCAGGAAGCGGAAGUCAAGUGGCCAGAACCUGGAGGUCACAAAAUGGAUCAAUGACUCGAAAGAGGUUCUUCGAAAUGCAGAGCAAUGAUGGCAGCAUAAGCUCUCAGAAGAACACGGCAGCAUGAAUUUUAAAAGUUACCAGGAGGGAGACAGGAUUAAGAUGGUGGACUAGAAGGAC